CGCUUGUUAGAACGUCUACGGGAGAUCACUUCUCGCGGUAUCUGACUCCUAGGCUCCGCCCUCUGUAUGCCGCUCGCGAAAUCUGACGCUCAGGCUCCGCCCCCCGCACGUCUUUGUUGGCAAACAGUUCUGGGGGCUGCCGGAGGUCGCAGGUAGUCUCCGUGUGCGAAGGGAGGUGCCACAGUCAGCGCCCCUGGUGGCUCCCAUUACGAGAAUUAGCGAGGAGUUCCCACUCUUCCUUUCCUAGGCUUCAGUGCCCCCUCGUUUCACAGGUGCACCCCGAGGGCCCAGACUGGAAAGGGUUAGGGUUAGGGUUGCUUGCCUUUUAGUGCCCGUGUGGCCCCAUCCUGCGUUUGGGAGCGGCGGGGCUUCCUGGGAGGCGCGGACCAGGCCCUCCGGGUUUAGGGAACGGGUGGCUUUCGGAGGCUCCUGGGGGCCCGUCAUGCCCGCUGCUUGCCGGGCGUCCCAGGUGGUGCAGGGCCCCUGAAACGCUGCACCUGGGGCCUCGUAACGCGUCAGUUUCCAUUCGGGCGCUCCGGAUGGUCCUGAGACUCUGCAUUUCUCCCAGGUUGCCAGGAAACUAUGCCAGCGCUUUGAGUGGCGAGGAGGUGGGGAAAUAGCCGGGGCAGGUUGCAGGCUUUGAAGGUCUAGGCGCUCUGGCUUUCCCACUCCUCGGUGUCAUCUCAAACAGUCAGCGCAGCCACAUCCGUCAUACGGUACAUGUUUUGUAGUAAAAGUGUUUUUAAAAGUUGGCUCUUGCAGUUUGGCUAUGUCAAUUUGGAAUUCACAUUUGACUCUGAUAACUCACUAUCCUGUCCGUUUUCAGGAAUGCUCCUGAUGAGCAAGCGUUCAACUUGCAAAUUGCUUUCAAAUAAAACAAUUUUAUGAAUUAAACAGUCAAUUUGAUAUAAUAGUGUAUUUUGUAGACAUUUACUUCAGCAUGUAUUGAUUUUGAUUUUUAUCAUUUUGUUUGAAUGUUGCAGCCAAUAAUUCCUUUUUUGGGUUUUGCAAGUUAUGCAUUGUUUGUUAUGGUGAAAAGUUGAGCACAGUAUCUGACACUGGGAGGAGGAUGGUCAAAUCUGGUUUUGAUACAUAAUAAACCCUGUGCAACCAUAAACUUGUUUUUCAGGAAUAUUUAAGAACAUUUAAAUUGGAUAGCAUAUAAUGUUAAAAGAUAAGUUUUUAAAAGCCAACAUGCACUAUGAUCUUAAUUUUAAAAAGUCUCUAUUUCUGUGUCUGUGUCCACAAAAGCAGAUCUCUGAGUAGUAAAAUGAAGUGAUUUAAAAUUUAUUCUUUAACAUUUUCUUUUCUUAGUUUUCUUUUUGAUUAUUAUAUGUAACUGUAUUAAGCUAUUACAUACAUAAUUCACCUUGUGAUAAUCUUUAAAUUCUGUUGUUUUAUUGUAUAAUUUUAUCUUUGUAAGGAAGAAAUAGAAGUGAUUCUUUUCUCAGGCCUGGAAUAUUUUGCAUGCUUCUUGAGAAGUGAGUGCCUAGACAUGUGUUGAUGAUACUUAGUGGGAAAAUGUGCUGGAAAUAGGCUUUGAAAAGACAAACAGUGAAACAGGCGGAAACUCAGUACAGAAACAGAGGUUGGCAGCACACAGAGAAUAAUGGUUGCUGAGAGUGUCAGGCCGAGGGGACCAGGGACCCUCAGGCCUGACUGUGGAGGAAAGCUGGGGUCGAGGCUGGGUCUCCAGCAGCCACAGACAGGACCAAGGUUACUGUACUGUAAUUUAGUUCUUAAAGGAGCGUGAUCCCUGAGGGCUGGAGCAAUUGGGCACAUCUGGAUUACAUAACAUUUCUAUAUGCCUCUUGCUCUAAGGGCUUAUUUUUUUCUUUUUCCCCAGUCAAACACCUUAACAUGCUGCUGGAGCUCAUAGUGUCCAGGGAAAUUUUUAAAAAUAAGUGGGGGAAAAAAACCACUUUUACAUGGUGUAGCAUUUUUUAAAAAGUUAUUGUCACUUUUUAAUAUAGGAGAUUGAAAUAUUUUGUGGGAAAACAUGGAGGGUAAGUCAUGACUUUUAGAAUUUCAAGUUUUCAGACACUCGUUGAUUUUCAUUUUUAUAUUGUACGAGUGCCUGCCUGUUUCCUCCAUCUCUGUCCACCAGCCCCAGACCCCCAUUUGGGAUGUACUCCAUCAUCCAUGGCCUGCUCUGUCUUGUCUGUGUAGUUAUCCUGGCUCAAGCUUGUAACUACCCAUGGCUCUCUUGUGUUUAUCUGCCUCUUAAAUGCCUGAUGCUCUAGCUACUAAGAGUGUUUGAUGAAUGAACGAGCAGCAUGCUUGUUGUUUGCUGCUCCAACUACUUGUUCCAUAGCUCCACGUUUGCUGGUGCUUUCCUCUGCCUAAAAUACCUUUUCCUUCUUCACCUGACUUCUCUCCUGGCACCUCCACCUCUUACCCUUCAGGGUCCCUUCCUUUGUUCCAAUUGCUUGUAUUGCUUUAUCCUGCACUUGUCACAUUAUAGAAAAGUUACCUGUUUGUAUCUUCCUGCCUCUCUGACUGAGCUCCUCAAAAGUUGAUGCCCUGUCUGAUCACAGACAGCAGGUACAGCACCAGCAGACAGAACUGUUUCAGCCCUUAGGCAACGGAGGGAAAAUGACUGGGGCUGACAGGCUUUUAAAAUGCUCAUCAAAAUGUUUGAGACAUAAAAACAAUGUUCUUGGCUCCAGAAUAUUUUUUUAGUCUGCAAAAUCAAGCUAAAAAUGUUUAAAUGAAAUAGCUCUAAAAUACUGCAAUGUCGUUAAUUAUUAGUGUUAACAUACACUUUGUUCCAUUCUAAAACAAUUUGUAGAUUAGACUCUCUUAGAUAGCAAAAAUCCUCCCAGCAUGCACUGAUUUCUGAGAAAUCCCAGUAAUUUGUAAAUUCAUGUAGUUAUUUGUGGCAUUCAGCAAAAUUAGAAAUCCUUUCCAAACCUUUACAGCAAGACAAUUAUAAGGAAGGCAGAUGUGGUUGGGGCUGCUGCUAAAAGUACAUGUGUCCAGGGUACUCUGGGUUCCUGUCUAGCCACACUGGAAGAGCAUGCCAAACUGGAAAACCUUCUAAACUCAGGGACCAUUUGGGGAAUAUGCUUUUUAGUUUGCCAUGGGCCCUUCCACAAUCUGCUAUCUUAUUCCUAACCAGCCUCAUUUGUUUGCUUUCUGGACCUUAGAAGGUUCUGAAUUUCUGACUCCUGAUCCUGGACUCUUAGAGCUGAAAGAAAGAUUUGUGGUUGUCUGAGCCAAUCUCUUGCCUCUCUAGCUGGGAGCAGUGCAGUCCAGAAAGGAGAAUAGGAUUGACUUGUUGACCAUCAUACAAAAGUAGUUACAAAGUCAGGACUAGUACCCAGGUCUCCUACUUAGCUUUCUAAAAAGUCAAAUAGUAGACAUAGGCCAGUGGAAUUUGAAGGUGUCUCAUAAUCACUUGAGGAACUUGUUAAGCAAACAGAUCCUCGAGCCACCUCCACAAUCUAGUAUCUCUGAGGUAGUGCUGAUGAGUCUAUGUUUUUAGUGCAAUUCUUAGUUUCUGACAACCUUGUCCUAUAGAAUACACCUUAGGACAGUGGUCUCCAAAGACAAUCCCCUGGGGUGCAGGAAGACUACCUUUUUUUUUUUUAAUUUGAAAAGUAAGGGCACAAUUAAGCUUUACUAAUAUGUAACAUACAGAUUGACACAGGUGCCCUUCCUUGGGCCAUGGUGAGCUGGUCCAAGUAAGAUUGGGUUAUGCUGACAAAACAAAUGAUCCCCAAGUGUCAGUGGCUUCCAACUAUGGCAGCCAGAAAAAGAACAGGAUGCAAAGUUAAAUUGGAAUUUCAGAUAAACAGUGAGAAAGGUUUUAAGAUGAGAAUGCCCCAGAUAUUUAGCAUAAGUCAUAAGUAUGUCCCAUCUGAUCAAGGAGGACUACCAGUUACAGCAGCAGAGAGGCAGAAAGAUUGAUGCCUUGCAGACUAGCUCCAAAAGCUUUUGGUCAAAAGUGGCAGACAUCACUGUCUUUCACUUUUUUUGGCCACGUAAGUCACAUGGCCAAGCUAAGCAUCCGUGUGGCAGGGGAGACUGUGAACCCCAAGGAGGGAUGUUGGUUGUCUGUGACCAUUAUGCAGCCUACCACAGGCAUAUAUGGUGGCUUGGAUGGGCUAUUCGAUGCCAUUCACGAGGCUAAAUUUGGUGAAAAAACAAGGUAGCAGAAUCCUUUCAGAGUUUUGUGAUGAGGCAUAUCUUAGUCUGUUUUGUGUCACUAUAACAGCAUACCAGAGAUUGGGUAAUUUAUUAAAAAAAAAAAAAGAUUGAUUUAGCUCAUGGUUCUGCGGGCUGGGAAGUUCAAGCACAUGGCUCUAGCUUCUGGUAAGAGGUUUCAUGCUGCGUCAUAAUAUGGCAGAGAAGAUCAAUGGGUAAAUGGACAUGUAUGAGAGAGGCAAAACCAGAGGGGUUUUCUGACUUAUAAUAACCCACUCUUGCAGGAACUAACCAAUUCCUGAGAGAACGAGUUCAAUCUUGCCAGAGCAAGAACUCACUGCCAUGAGAACAGUACCAAGCCACCCAAGAGGACAGAGCCCUCAUGACCUGAACUCCUCCCAUUAGGCCCCAAACCCCAACACUACCACACUGGGAUGAAAUUUCCAAAUUAGUUUUGGUGGGAACAUACUCAUGUCCAGACCACAGCAAGGAGUGACUUUGAAAAUCUUGUACCACAGCAAGAUCACAGAUCAUCAGUGGCAAAGCACUCAAAAGAAUUGUCAAGCUUGAAAAUGAGUUACCAUAUUUUCUUUUACAGUGAGUGUUCUACGUUUUCUCAUCUGUGAUGACAUGUAGCUGUCAUUAGGAUGAUACCCAGGAGAAAGUUUCAGAAAAUCAAACAGAUAUAAUCUGCUUCUUCAAAACAAAGGUAUCAUUCUGAUUAUUGCCGUUACAGGAGAGAUGAGAGGAAAUUAGAGGGGCUAAAAGAACCAGAAGACCUGUUAAAACUCAUGAAUACAAAGAAAAGUCAUUUGCUUCUGUGCUUCAAUUCCAUAAUAAAAUGAGUACAAUGUCA